UGCACGGUGGUGCAGUUGGUAGCACUGUUGCUUUGCAGCGAGAAGGUCGCGGGUUCGACUUCCAGCCUGGGUAU